UACGUAGGGGGCAAGCGUUGUCCGGAAUCAUUGGGCGUAAAGAGCGUGUAGGCGGCCAGAUAAGUCCGCUGUGAAAUCUCGAGGCUCAACUUCGAGCUGUCGGUGGAAACUGUCUGGCUAGAGUCCGGAAGAGGAGAAUGGAAUUCCUGGUGUAGCGGUGAAAUGCGUAGAUAUACGGAGGAACACCUGCGGCGAAGGCGGGUAGCUGGGCCAACACUGACGCUGAUGCGCGAAAGCUAGGGGGAGCAAAUGGG
rnacentral:rRNA from 1 species